GAUGAAGAACGUAGCGAAAUGCGAUACGUAAUGUGAAUUGCAGAAUUCAGUGAAUCAUCGAGUCUUUGAACGCACAUUGCGCCCGUCAGUAUUCUGACGGGCAUGCCUGUCCGAGCGUCAUUUCAACCCUCAAGCACUGCUUGGCGUUGGCGGAUUGCGUGCCCUCGCGGCGCUGCAACCGCCCAAAUACAGUGGCGGUCCCGCUGCGGCUCCCUUUGCGUAGUAACUCACCUCGCACUGGACCGGGCGGCGGCCUGCCGUAAAACCCCAACUCACGAAAUGUUGACCUCGGAUCAGGUAGGAAUACCCGCUGAACUUAAGCAUAUCAAUAAGCGGAGGA
rnacentral:misc_RNA from 1 species